GACAGAGGAGCCAAGCGUUGUCCGGAUUGACUGGGCGUAAAGCGCACGCAGGCGGAACGGCGCGUGGGGUGUGAAAGCUGGCGGCUUAACUGCCAGUCGCCAUCCCAUACGGCCAUUCUGGAGCCUUGCAGAGGGCAGUGGAAUUGCCGGUGUAGUGGUGAAAUGCGUAGAGAUCGGCAGGAACACCCCAGGGGGAAACCAGCUGCCUGGGCAAGCGCUGACGCUGAGGUGCGAGAGCGUGGGGGAGCGAACCGG
rnacentral:rRNA from 1 species